rnacentral:rRNA from 1 species
GCCAAACAGCUAGCAUAAACCCCAGAAUAGUCAUAACAACAUUAAAACAACUCCACAAGACCAAAACAAGCAUAAUCAAAACAUUCUUCCGCCCAAGUAUGUGAGACAGAAAGGGCACAUUCCCCCAAAGCUUUAGUAAAAGUACCGCAAGGGAAAGCUGAAAGAGAAAUGAAACAAAUCAUUCAAGCACAACAAAGCAGAGACUAAAUCUCGUACCUUUUGCAUCAUGAUUUAGCCAACCCAACUGAGCAAAGAGAACUUUAGUUCAAAACCCCGAAACUAAGUGAGCUACCCGGGGACAGCCUAUUAAUUAGGGCCAACUCGUCUCUGUGGCAAAAGAGUGAGAAGAUCCCAAGGUAGAGGUGACAGACCUACCGAACUUAGUUAUAGCUGGUUGCCUAGGAAAUGAAUAGAAGUUCAGCCUCGUACUCCUCAACUCAACACCUUGCAAUACAAAAACGAGCCAGAGAAACACACGAGAGUUAGUCAUAGGGGGUACAGCCCCUAUGAAAUAGGAUACAACCUAAACAGGAGGUUACAGAUCAUAUUAACUAAGAUUUACCGCCCUAGUGGGCCUAAAAGCAGCCACCUCAAUAGAAAGCGUUAAAGCUCUAGCGGACUAAUAAAUCUAUUAUCCAGAUACAACACCUAAAACCCCUAAUUAUACUAGGCUAUCCCAUGCCCCCAUGGAAGAAAUACUGCUAAAAUGAGUAAUAAGAAGUUAUACUACUUCUCCAAGGCCCACGUGUAUGCCAGAUCGGACCAACCGCUGGUAAUUAUCGAACCCAACAAAAGAGGGUAUUAUGAAAACAUAAAACAACAAGAAAAAAUCAUAUAACCCAAUCGUUAACCUCACACUAGAGGGCCAUAUUAAAGGAAAGACUAAAAGAAAAGGAAGGAACUCGGCAAACUUAUGCCCCGCCUGUUUACCAAAAACAUCGCCUCCUGCAAAAAUCAAAGUAUAGGAGGUCUUGCCUGCCCAGUGACAAGUUAAACGGCCGCGGUAUUUUGACCGUGCGAAGGUACGGCAAUCACUUGUCUUUUAAAUGAAGACCUGUAUGAAUGGUGGAACGAGGGCUUAACUGUCUCCCCUUUCAAGUCAAUGAAAUUGAUCUGCCCGUGCAGAAGCGGGUAUAAAAUACAAGACGAGAAGACCCUUUGGAGCUUAAGAUACAAGAUCAACUAUGUCAAUACACCAAACCCCAAGUUAAACUAAAUAGCACCUGAUCCCUAUCUUCGGUUGGGGCGACCACGGAAGAAAAUAAAGCUUCCAUGCGGACUGGGGCUACCAUCAGCCCUAAAACCAAGAAAGACAUUUCCAAGCAACAGAACAUCUGACCAAAAAGAUCCGGCGACCUCCGCCGAUCAACGGACCAAGUUACCCUAGGGAUAACAGCGCAAUCCCCUUUCAGAGUCCAUAUCGACAAGGGGGUUUACGACCUCGAUGUUGGAUCAGGACAUCCUAAUGGUGCAGCAGCUAUUAAGGGUUCGUUUGUUCAACGAUUAAAGUCCUACGUGAUCUGAGUUCAGACCGGAGCAAUCCAGGUCAGUUUCUAUCUGUAAUUUAAAACUUCUUCCCAGUACGGAAGGACCGGAAAAAGAGGGCCCAUGUUAAAAACACGCCCUACCCCUACUUAAUGAAAACAACUAAAUUAAAUAAAGGGAGAAUACAACUCAAUAAAUCAAGAUAAGAUUAUUAAGA